rnacentral:lncRNA from 1 species
GUCCUGGGAAAUAAAUGAGGAUAAAUUAGAAAGGUGUGAAAAGAAUGUGUCCAGUGACAUGGAAAUCAAAUCAAAGCAGGCAAGUUUCAAAAAGGACAUACUAACAUCAGGUGCCUCAAGAAGUCAAGAGAAAGAGCAAGGAGACAAGGCCACUGGAGGAUUUCAAUGACAAGGGGUGAGUGGGGCAGGGACAUAAAGUUAUGGGUCUGGCACACAUAGACUAUGGAGAAUCAUAAAGAGUUCUUUUAAGAACAUUUUUUUAGUGUUUAUUUCUUUUGGGGAGAGAGAGACAGAGCAUGAGCAAGGGAGGGGCAGAGAGGGGAGACACAGAAUCUGAAGCAGGUUCCAGGCUCUGAGCUGUCAGCACAGAGCCCGACAUGGGGCUCAAACCCACAAACGAUGAGAUCAUGACCUGAGCCAAAUUUGGACGCUUAACCAACUGAACCAACCAGGCGCUGAAAGGAACAAUCCAAAUGACAGCCCUGCCUUAGUUUAAAGCUAGGUUCUCUUUUCUGCUUAUUAUGGAUCUUUGAUAAGAAAUACAAUUGCUGAGAAGUCUGUUUGCUUGCUGUUUGCUACGAGCAUUGUGAGGCCUUUCCUGAAUGUAACCCGCUGUGUAGUAGAAUGGGUUGUAAACCUUCCUAAAUGUAGUCUGAUAUGUAAUGGAAUGAGUGAUUGUACAUAAACUAACCGGCAUUUCUCGCUUCUGUAAACCUGCUUGCUUAGCACAUUCCUCACCUAGCCUACCCCCUUCCCCCUUUUUUCCUCCCGCCACAAGUAACAGACAAAGCCUUCCCGCCAAAGGACAAAGGACGCCCAAUCAGAGAACAACAAUGUCCUUACUUUAAAAUCAACUAAUCAGGCCCCUCAUAAUUUGAAACCUCCCCUGUGCUAUUUGUCUCUGUCUAUAAAAACGCUGUACCAACCCUGAUCGUGGCCUCUUGCGUCACCGGCGACGAGUGUGCAGAGGACCAGGUUCGAACCUGCAAUAAACGACCCUUGGCCGCUUGCUUUGACUUACGACUCUGGUGGACUUUUGUGGGAGGUUUCGGAACUUCGGGCAUUACAUUUGGAGGUCCCACCGAGAUCUCCUCCGAGCCCACCAGACUUCUGGUCAACGGGUCGUAUCUGAUUCCGAUCGGGAACUCCAGCACAUCCACCAGGAAGUUUG